UUGUGAAUCCUCUGACACCAAUUAUUGGAAGAGAUGGAGACAAUUCUGUAUAGUUUGACCAUGAUCUGAAGAGACCAAGAAUGAUGGCGUGGCAAUCCCAGAACUAAAAGUUUCUCCAUCAGCCCUGUUCUUUGCUUCAAUUGUGAUUCUGGAACUGAAGCUUCAUCACCAUCAUUCUGUCGCUGGUCACAUGACUGAAUGAUUCGAUGGGGCAGGGAAUUUUCAUUUGCAUUGAGCGGACACAGAAUGUGAACGACAUAAUUUUCGCUGGCUCAAAGAUACAGGGGAGAAUGCUAAUAGUCUGGUUAUAUUUUA